rnacentral:miRNA from 1 species
AGUUCCUAACUUCCUGUUUCGUUGACCAAUCAGAUUGCUAAAAUAUAAAAUUUGAUUGGUCAAUGAAACAGGAAGUUAGGAACUUUUUAAGGAA